CAGACUGACAGGAGAGCUCCCGCUGGGUGCAAGCACCAGGAGCGGAAUCUUCACUUCGCACACUCCUAAUAUGGUAAGCCCUGCAGACUGUGGGCCUGUGAGCAGGAGGGGGACCAGGCGGAGCUCCACGCCUCCGUGAGGUUAACCCCUUGGCAGAAGGCAGAAUGGAAGAGAGACUGACCACUGGUGGCUGCAGAUGCUCUGGUUACUAACAGCCACAAGUCAAGUCGACGUGAUCUGGAAGCCAGGAUCAGGUUGUCCUUCCAAACAGCAGUGUCUGCCGACAGUAAACUUCGGAUCAAAGCAGCAGGGCAAAAUGAACUGCCUCAGCCCCAUGGGUCACCGAAAUGAAACAGGAAAAGACAAAUAAAGGAAAAAGAAACAGCCUUCUCAGGCGAGUGGCAAAGGCAGCAGGACAGUGGAGGGACUGUCACGUGCAUGCCACGCCCUCCCCACAGGCUGUGUGUCGGCUCCGUCACAGCAGCUGCUGCCAGGAGCAUAGAGGAAAAUAGUGUCCAUGCUGGCUUUUUAUAACAGACCUGAGUAGUGAAUAGAGACUGCAAAGAAUGGGGCCAGGGCCACCAAAUAUUCUUCCCGGCCUUGGAGACCCCACCAUGCCAGGGCCUGGGCCGUUCAGUGCUUCACUGUUUACCAAGAUCCAGAGGAUGUGGCCCCUGCAGGGACAAUGAGGAAGAGCCAGUGAUUAGAAAGAAAAGAACUCCAGAUGGAGAGCUUCACGUUGUCGGCAGAUUUAGAAAAAGCCCCUGGAAUCCGCACGGGUGGUACAGCCGGGUGCAGACUGACAAGCGAGGAAUCUUCCAUCUCAUCGCCUCAAUUUCAGGCUUCAGAGAUGCCCGGCUCUGCUGUUCAAAGAGUUUUAUUAAAAAUUUGUGAGGAGGGAAAAGAAGUCUGUGCAGGCCUGUCUGGUGCCAUUACGUCUGACACAGCACACGGAGCCGCGGACCGCCCGGGACAGCCACCGCAGGGGGGUGCACAGCAGAGGCCAUGGGAGCCCCCGGGGAAUGGUCCCAGAUGCUCUAGUCUGGUGGGGUCCCUCCAGAAUCGUGAGUCUCCAUAUGUGACCCAGUGUAUACUUCCAGUCCUUAGACCACCAGCAUUCCAGUCAGAAGACAAACACCCACGGAUCCCAACGUUGAACUUGUCCCCUCGGUAUAACUUCUGCUACUGCUCCUCUCAUGAGCAAAACUCCCUUCUCUGAUCAUUUUCUCUGUAAACCUAGAUCGAGCGACACACUGCCAGCAGCUCCUCUGCAGCUAUGAAGUGUGGCAUGAAUCCAGCCUUCCCUGAAGCGGGGCGCUGCCACGCGGAUUGCAAUCUAGACAACGUCUGGAUCCCCCACAUUCUGGGCACAGACCUCACAAGACCCUUAAAGGCAGGGAUUCGCCUGACGGGCAGCCUGGCUGGUGUGCUCCAUAAGAAGGAGGGCUGGGUCCCCGGAAGGGAGUCAGUGCAGCCAGACAAGCUGCCUUAUCCCAUGCAGAUUUUUCUGGUUGCCAGGAGAGGUCUCCAGCCUGGAGUGGCCCUGCUGAAAGACACCCAGUGGAGCUCCGUGAAGGUUUGGGAUGAAUGAGGACGUGGGAGGGAGCGUACCGCGUAGCAGCAGCACAGAAGGAGCGUAGGUAGGCUGUAAACAGCCCCAGAUGGGCAUCUGGGUUCGGGCUCGGCUCAGCCUUUCUCAACCCGAGAUAAAGCUUGGGAUCAACUGAGAGCCUUUAAAAAAUAUUGAUGCCUGGGUACAACGUCCAGAACAAUUAAAAUAGGAUCAAAUUAGGAUCUCUGCCAUCGCCUAAAAGUCCUAGGACAAUGUGUAAGGUUAGAAAAAGUUUGGGAACAACGUAAGUGUGGAAAAUGCGAGGCUAAUGUGGAGGAUGAGUUUCACUGGUCACCCUGGCCGCCCAAUCACUCUUGGAGAGGUGGGAUGGCCAAAGAGGAAGGUGGAGCUAAGGUGACACAGGAGACGGAGGGCCACCUCCACUGCUCAGGCCCAGUGCUCUGGCCACUGCUCAAGGGCAGACUGAGGCCUGAGUCCAGAGCUGCCCCGGGGUCUUGGGGUCUUUGGAAAUGCGGACCAGUAGCCGGGGUGGAGAAUCUGACUCACUUAUCUAACCCACGGCCCCAAGCAUCUACCUUUGAUCCUUCUUUUUUUUUGAGGAAGAUUAGCCCUGAGAUAACUACUGCCAGUCCUCCUCUUUUUGCUGAGGAAGACUGGCCCUGAGCUAACAUCCGUGCCCAUCUUCCUCUACUUUAUAUGUGGGAAGCCUGACACAGCAUGGCUUUUGCCAAGUGGUGCCAUGUCCGCACCCGGGAUCCGAACCGGCAAACCCCGGGCUGCCGAGAAGCAGAAUGUGCCCACUUAACUGCUGCGCCACCAGGCCAGCCCCUAACUUUGAUCCUUUGUUAGGAUCGCACCAAAAGACACCAAAGACAAAAAGAUUCCUCCUUCCCUCUGUCAGAGCCCUUCCACCUUAUCUGCCUUGUCCCUGCUCAGCCUACUUCCCCUGCUCAGAGGGGAAAGGAGGGCAGCCCUGUUGUCUGGUAUGCUAGGAGGCCGUGUUACACUUGGCAAUGGUCCUGAUUUUUACUUGCAGCAUCACUGCCCCAUCCAGUGGGGUGGGGCAGCACGCUCCCUGUACCGCUGUAGAUGGUGACCCUGAGAAGGCCAAGACCAGACAGGCGUGCCACUGACACAGCAGUGCAAAUGACUGAAUACACACACACACACGCACACGCACAUGCACAGGGCAGUAAGCCACCAGCAGACAAAGAAAGGAAAAUACCAGCGAUAACAAAGCAGGAGAGUGACCCACGUUAACCCAGACAGUGCUCAAACGGCUCCACUAAACUGUGAUUUUCGUUGCUGCUUCUUAGCCCCAGAAAUUAUGCUUUCCUUUGAAGAGCUGAUGUAGCACUCUAAAUGAUACAUUCAGUACGAGAAGUCCGUGUUCUGUUUCCCCGCAGGAUGUAAUCGAGACUGGAUACAUGGCCUGGUGUCUAAUUCUCCAGUUACAUAAUUAGUAACUGCACAUCAGGCAAAAAAAAAAAAAAAAAAAAACCCAGCCCUGAGAGAGCAUCUCAGAGGAGGCACAGCUGAGGCGGUUCUCAAAUUCCUCAGUGCUCAGGCUUCUUAGCCCCCAGUCAUUAUUGUUUGUUGGUUUCUUCUUCUGUUGUCAUAGCCAUUAGUACUAUCACGAUGCGAUCACUGUUGAGAGAAUGUUGCUCUAGAAAUCUGAGGACUGGAGAGCAGGAGGGAGAAGGGUAUGGCCUUGGCAGCAUCUCAGAACCACAGUUCUGGAUCUCCCAGAAGCCUCCAGGGGGCGCCUUCCAGCUCGGAGUCUCCUGAGACCCCAAGCAUGUCACAAUGCACUCUUGGUGAACGCCCCCGCGGAGGGCAGGGCAGCCUAAAGGAGAGGAGUCACAGGGCCUUAGCCAGGAGGCUCCAGGUCCUGUUCCUGGGGCAUCACCACUAACGAAGGCUGUGGUCCAAGGCUUCCCACCAAGUCUGGGAAAGGAAAUACAACAUGGCGGCAGGCUAAACGAGGCUCAGGAGUCCCUGUUCGGCCCUUCUCUUGCUUCACCCCCUCCUUGGAAGCAGGGCUUGGAGCUGGUUUCAUGCAACAUUCUUCCUCAGCUGAGAAUGCAGACACUCCCCCACGACCAGUCCUUAUCAACAGCUGUCCAGGGUCUGGGGCAUAUCAUUAGGUGAAGCCUUGGGGCAGCUGUGCCUCUGGUCCUUGACCCUGCAUUUAUUUUAGAGAUUAAAGAGCAGAGGGAGUGGGAAGAGAAGCAGACUCAGAGUCUGCACAUCAUCUCAGCCCCAUUGCACCAGGCGGCAGAGAAAAGCCUGAAAACCAGACGUCCUACUGGCCGCACAGCUCCUGCCUGAACCUUCCCCCAUUGCGUGCUCACCACAUUGAAGAGAGAAUAAAAUCGCCAGGUGUUUAACAAUCAUAACAGCUUUUAUUCAGUACUCAUUAUGUGCCAGAUAGGGAGUUAAACACUUUUUACACAUUAAAUUAUUUAAUCCGGUCAACUCCUGAGAGGUUUAUACUAUUUUCUCCCUUUUUGUGAGAGAAGAAACUGAGGCUUAGGAAGGGCAGGUGACUUGUCCAAGGUCACACAGCGUGCAUCUGUGAACGCAGGAUUCUGACCCAUACUGUCAACUCCACACGCAAAGAUGACAGAGAGGGAACUACUUGCUUCUGAAGUUUCAUGGCAUUGACAACCACCCCAGUCAUUUGGGAUUUGACAUAGUCUAAAAUGUUGCAUCAAUUUUCAUUUCAGGUUUUAUAAUCCCACAAAUAUUGCAAAUUCCUUGAGGUCAAAAACUGGCUGUUCUGCUUCUCUGUGUUCUUCCAAGUGUCAACAUAGCAAUUUGCACAAAAC
ensembl:lncRNA